rnacentral:lncRNA from 1 species
AUACUUUUGAGAAUACGACCUUUUAGUCUGCUCCCCUUUACAGUGUAAGCCAGACACCGACUCAAGUAGGUCUCAGACCUGUACUGAAUGUGGCUUGACAGGGGCUACAGUUUCUUUGAAGUCCACUGUGUUGUUGGAAGGUGUGGUGAUACAGCUACAAGCUAGCAAUUAGCUUUUGGGGUAACUAGGUCAGUUAAAUUCCAUUCACUACAUAAUAAGAUCUCGCAUCACAUACUACUGCCUCACAAAGCCAUUACUAGUGACAAGAAACCACAUCAUUACAUGCGGUCAUCUGCAAACCUCAACAAGGAUCUCUGGGAGGAGUAAACUGCUGUUUGAAGAAAGCCCUGGAGAGGAAGGCAUCAGAGCAGCCAGGGCUGGGCGUCAGCAGGCCUACUUUGUGACAGCCUGGCGAGGGAGAGGAAGGAAGAAACAGGCAGUGAAGAACACAACAAAGAAGCUGAAGGAAAAGGCCAAGCCUAUUUUCUCUGAGAAAAAUCCAGGCUAUCCAAUGCAGAGGGAAUGCAGCAGAGUUAUUCUGCAGUAUCUGGAGGUAAGGAGAUGAGCCAAAUAACAGCCUUGUGAAACACAACUAGAAAUUCAGCCAGAGACGGCAUUGAUUUUUUUUUUUUCCUCCUCCCCCUAUGCCCCCGGCAUGGAGGAAGAUAUAUGCGUUUAGAUCAGCUCAUGCCCUGAUUGAGUCUUGAGCAUAGAAGGGUCUGACUCAAGCACUUUCCAUGCAGUCUGUAGGAUUCCUGUGUGCACACUGGGCAGAUUACCGGGAUAAAUUAAGACCCAGCCUGUGCCCUUAACCUAUAAGACAAUUCACCCCCAUUGUAUUAAGUGGUUUAAAAAGGAAAAGAAGAAAAGAAAAAAAGAUACAACUUGCAACAAAUCUUUCUAACCACUGGGUUAACAUGGAGUGUGAUGUUUGUAUGACAGAUCAUGAUGGGAGGUGACAGACUUUCAGACCUUGGCUGAGAAGUAAGAUCAGCUGGAGGUAGAUGAUUUCUGUCAAUAGGUGGACAUCAUGCAGCCAAAAGAGUGAUGACAGAAGAUACAGAAGUAUUUUUAUUUUGCUCUAUUAUACCCAUCUGUGCAUGUGCAGGUAUUUUUUUAGUCUAUGAAGCAGCAGAAAAAAAAAUGAUGUUUAGAAGUGUGAGUUACAAAUGCCUUAGAUUUGCCGAAGGAAACAG